UCCUGUCUGAAUAUGGGGGGACCAUCCUCCAAGGCUAAAUACUCCUGACUGACCGAUAGUGAACCAGUACCGUGAGGGAAAGGCGAAAAGAACCCCGGCGAGGGGAGUGAAAAAGAACCUGAAACCGUGUACGUACAAGCAGUGGGAGCCCCACCACUAAGCCAGUGGUGAACUCCACAUACGCAUCCUUUGCUGAGGAUACGGUUAACGGAGCGAAAGCGACGUUCAACCUCAAAAGAAGCAGAGGGGGCUUAGUGGUGGGGUGACUGCGUACCUUUUGUAUAAUGGGUCAGCGACUUAUAUUCUGUAGCAAGGUUAACCGAAUAGGGGAGCCGGAGGGAAACCGAGUCUUAACCGGGCGUUAAGUUGCAGGGUAUAGACCCGAAACCCGGUGAUCUAGCCAUGGGCAGGUUGAAGGUUGGGUAACACUAACUGGAGGACCGAACCGACUAAUGUUGAAAAAUUAGCGGAUGACCUGUGGCUGGGGGUGAAAGGCCAAUCAAAC
rnacentral:rRNA from 1 species